GUCGACGAUGCUCUAGGAUUAGCAGAAAAACACUUUUGCGUUGCACAAGGUUUUGAUUGCCAAAGCUGGACUUGACUGAGCAGAUACAUUGACGAUGUUCAUCAAGGGGUUGUUGGAUAUCUUGACCGGUCUGCAGUACUUGGAAGAAAACUUCCUAGGUACUGGUGGAGAUGUGGAACUAAUGAAAACAGAACAUAUCAGACAUUAUGGGCCUCCUGUGUGAAAUUGAGGAGCCGAGCCAAGCCUUUUGUUCCUUACGGUGUCUUCUAUUCUUAGAGGCUGAUUUCUGUGUGCAAAACUGCCCCUGCAGGUUAGUGACCGGAGAUUGUGGCAUAAUGCUGCUCCGGAUCAACUUGCUUUUUGAUGCAAACUGACAGUAAUCAUGAGGAAGAGAGCUGAGCUCCUUUGAUUGUGAAAAAAGUCCCUUUGAUCUUUUGGUGUUAAGAGGAUUGUACUUCACAAUAUUGGUUCAAUGCCGUUGAUAUUUUUAUGUGAGAUAUCUGCUUUCCA